CAGAGGUUCACUUAUUUCCCCACUUAGCUCCAUAAGUACUCAUGGGUGGAUACCGUCAGACCCUGGAGCUUUAUUUACAUUAAUUUUCUUUAAUAGCUGUAGCACCUUGUCUUGAGUUAUCCAAUCACAAGUUAUCUGCAAGUUUGUUGCAGCAAUCAUUUGAUUAUCUCUUGCCAUAGGAUCCUCAUUAAUAUAUACUGAAG